GCAGCGCAAUAUGUAGCGCGUUGGACUUCUAAUCCAAAGGUCGUGGAUUCGAAUCCCACCUGAAUUG